AGGUGGUAAAGCUGGCUGUCUCGCCACUCACCUCCUGCUAUGCAGCCUGGUUCCUAGCAGGCUACUUACAAGUCCACACCCCUAUUAUAAAGUAUAAUUGAGCAGCAACAUCAUGGAAUCAUGGAACAAUACUUGACUUUCUAGGGGGAAGUGUGAAGGAGUGAAGAGGACAGGCAGGGUCUUGCUGGAGUGCAGUCCCAGGCUGAAGAGAACCUCUCACCUCAGCUCCCAGAAUUGCUAGGACUACAGGUACACACCACCAUGCUCAGUUGAUUUUUGUAUUUUGUAUUUUUUGUAGAGAUGGGGUUUCACCAUGUUGUCCAGGCUGGUCUCGAACUCCUAAGCUGAAGCAACAUGCCUGCCUAGGCCUCCCGAAGUGCUGAGAUUACAAGAAUGAGCCACCACACCCAGCCAAGGAUUUUGACUCUUAUCCUAUGAAUAAUGAGAAGCUGCUGGAGUGUUUUAAACUAGCAAGAAAACUAACAAAGUUUGCAUGUUGGAAAAUGUGCUUGGCAAUAAGGUGAUUUGCAAAAGGACCUAAAACCCUGAAUUCCCCAAGCUCCAGCAUUUCCAGCUUCUGGUAAUCAUUCUAUUCUCUACUUCAAUGAGAUCAACUUCUGUGGCUCCCACAUAUGCCUGAGUCCACUGAACUCUCUGCAUUCACUGGAAAGGAGAUAUUUUUCACAGCAGAGCCUUAAUGAAAUCCAAAACAAGAUGAGUCUCAACCAAGGCAACCAAGGAGACCUGAUUACAGGGGACCUGUGAACUUCAUGUUAGA
rnacentral:lncRNA from 1 species